CUCUGUGACAUCACAGUGGCCACCAUGCAACAGGUGUGUAGAAAGAGCCCCUAAAGGCUCCUCAUGUCUGCUGUAGUCUUCUUUGCAACAGAUCAUUUCCAUCCGUCUCUCAUAGCACAACUUUCUCACUCACCUCUCACUCCUGUUGCUUGCUUUGCUUCGCCCUAAAGCAGAUGAGAAGAUGGGACACACAAGACACAGUCCAUGGAGGCCAUCUUUCGCACCCCAGAAUGCUUUGGUGGAUGCUUACAAAGAAGACUUAUUUACAUGCUGAUAGAAGGUCCAGCUGACCCAGGAGAAAGAAGUCUUAAGAAUUUGUCCUUCAUCCAACUAUUGCAAAAACAAAGUGAAGAACUCAACUCAUGCAAGUAAAUUGCUGGGUUUGGUAUAAAUGUCUACAGACAUUAUGCUCAAAAAGCAACUGAAAGAUGUGUGGCCAGACUUGUUCUGAUUCUCCCCUCCCUUCUCCUAAGAAAUAUGGCUUAGAAAAGGAUUUGUGGGAUGGGCUUUGAAUGGCUGUUAUCAGAGCUUUCUGUCUUUACACACACACUUUCUCAUACAUGCUUACUGACAUAUUUGUUAUACUCGCUGCGUAAUUGCUGUUCUGUACUGCAUGGAGACCUUGAUCUGCCACUGAAGCAACUACAGGUCCAGUGUUGAAAGUAGAAGCUUCUUUUUGAAGACUGACAUAAAAGAUCCUAUUUUGCAGAAGGUAAUGGAUUUCAAAGCCAUAAGGAAAGCUGUCAGUAGGAUCAGGCUGAAUAUUGCCCUAAGGCACGCACAUAUCUUUUUCUUUUCUUUUAACUAAUUAUUACCGACUAAAGCUUCUCAAAACUUGGAAUGUUAGGAAUAUCCUCGAAGUGGAUUUUCUGGCAGGGGCUGGUGUAAUGGAUCAAAGAUGGGUAAUAGAUUCAUUACUGCAUGGACCAGCAUCAAAGAACUGAGAGACAUGUUGUGAUGCAGAAAUCGGCAACAAUGUUUUGAUUUGUUGUAUAAUCUACUUUGAAUGCCUGUCAGAGCUCUGCUGUGACUGGCUUUGUUGAGCAGUGCUUACUGCAUAGUUGACUGGUUUAUCAUGAAGUUGAAGGUAUAUAUUUUAUGUUUGGCUUAUUUUGAACUGAAAAGCCAUUUUAACAUGGAGUUAGCUUCAUAGUCUUUGUUGCAAAGGAGGAUGGAAGUUUGAAGAUGUGUGCACUUUCAAUAGAAAAUGAGGGUUCAGUGUGUUUGACAGUAAUUCUUUUUACUUGUUUGGAGAGUGUACUGAGUAUGAUAGAUUAUUGGACUGAAACAAAGGAUAAAGAAGGAAUUAGUGUCUGGUGGGGCUCUGUUGUUAAGUUGAUGACUGACUUGUUUUGGGACUUGGCUUCCUUACAGUGUUUCUGAUGCUGGGGAAACAGUUUUAAAUAGUUUCUCUCUCGGUUUGUGCUUAGUGUUCAAGCAUGCAGCAACAUUUUGAAAGGCAGCUGUAAUCCAAACACUUAAUAGGAUAAUUCAGAAUGGAGCUGGUACAACCUGAAGAACUUUCACAGAGGAGAGAGGGAGGUGUGUGAGAAAAUGGAUGAACUAGAGAAAAUGCAACAAAAUGACUCCUAUGUGUUCCUCAACAUCGUGUUCUUCUGCCUUUUCUACCUUUUAAGUUGGUUGCCCUUGGUCCUGGUAAACUUACUGGCUUGGUUCCUGCUUUUCCUGCAUGCUAGGAUGCCUGCAAAAACUAUGUUAAAUGCGUGAGAGAUGGGGAAAAUAUCUUUGUAUUUUUUAGUAGGGGGUGAAUACCUGAAGUGACUCCAAGUAAAACACCUUGUAGACUCAUCAGUUCACUGCCACACCUGAACUAAUUAGCCUCAUUCAGAUUGUUUUAUUUACUGUGAGGAAGUCACCAGAAAUUUUAAUCUCUGCGUGGGAAAAUGUUUAAAUUACUCAGGCGACACUUUUCUUGGAGUUAUUGUCAUCUAUUCUGUACAUAAUGUCAAGAGCAAACUGAUAAUUGUAAUUUUUGUUAACUGUUUGUAUGCUCACUUUUUAUACAUUAAACAAUUUAUGGUGUUUUACCACAGUCUUAUAAAUAGGAAACAGCGGCCUAAAGGCAGAAGAGAGAUGCUGAUUAGAGAAUGAUAGAAAUACAAAUUUAAAGCAGCCACAGUAGGGCAGAAAAUUCAAACAUGAAAAAGUGCAUCCCUUUUAUUACAACCUAAGUCUUAAUUACAUAAGCUAAGUCUUUUAUUACAUCCCAGGUUUAAUUGCAGAAAACAGGGGGUGGGAAACCUAAGGCUUCACAGACAUAUUUGUCAGAAGCUCUGGAAUGAGGUUCCUGUUGGGGGAGAAAGUAGGAAGUAAGCUCUCAUGAAGAACAUGUAAGAGAGACCAGGACAUUCUGC